ACGAAACGCAAAGAGUGCUCAAUAUCAUAAAGAUAGAGCAAAUGUAGAAUUUCGCUUACCUCAAAAUUCCGCAACAGUCUGUUUCAUCAGUAAAGAAUCAUCAGGCGGUAUGACAAGUUUCGAAAAUAGGACUGCUUAUAUGUGUUUUGGCCGGAAUGUGGGGGUGUGUGGGUGAAACAAAGCAUGCAUUCAUCUAUUGUUUGCGUUGUUUACGCGGAAAUGCCUAAUCGAGUUG